rnacentral:lncRNA from 1 species
GCUUCUGCUUGUUGAACAGGAGCUGCUGCUUGUGCUUGUCGUUGUUGUUGUUGUUGUUGUUUUUCUUCCAUCAUUUGUUUGUGGAGUUUGUUUGCGAGGAAAACAUGAGUUUGUACACACGCCGUCCAUUCACUCCUCCUCCUCUGUCAGAGCUGGUGUCCACCAUCGGACCAACAGCUGCUCAUCAUGACAUCGGAGAUCUGGCCGCCAUGAUCGCAGGCGUGGUGAGUGCAUUGCUGCUGCUGCUGAUCUUCAUCAUCGCGGUGCUGCUGUGGUGUUUGUCCAGGCAGAAAGGAUCGUAUGUCACCAAUGAGAUGGACGAUGACGACGAGCUGGACAACUUCGACGACGACGACGAGUCGGUCUUGUCCGACAAGGCGCUGCCACUACGGGAGCCUCUAAGGCUCAAAGCAGACCAAUAGAAAACUUCACAGAGGACUUAGACAGAGCUUCGUAGCAGCGUUUUCACCUUUGCUCGUUGGCAGCUUUGCACAAUUUUUAGAUCAGAUUUUCGCAGCUUUUAUGUAACACAUCGGAUUUCAAACAUUUUCAAACCGGAUUGGAUGACAUCGAAUAUAAACCCCUUUAAUAUGUUAAGGUUUCAUUCAGGUUAUAAAUACGUCUUCAAUAAACCAUGCUCAUUUACAACUCA